UACGGGGGGAGCAAGCGUUGUUCGGAUUUACUGGGCGUAAAGGGCGCGUAGGCGGCCUGUGCAAGUCAGUUGUGAAAUCUCCGAGCUUAACUCGGAAAGGUCAACUGAUACUGCUCGGCUAGAGUGCGGAAGGGGCAACUGGAAUUCUUGGUGUAGCGGUGAAAUGCGUAGAUAUCAGGAGGAACACCUAUUGCGAAGGCAGCUCGCUGGGACGUAACUGACGCUGAGACGCGAAAGCGUGGGGAGCAAACAGG
rnacentral:rRNA from 1 species